rnacentral:rRNA from 1 species
AGCGAACGCUGGCGGCAGGCCUAACACAUGCAAGUCGACCGAAGUCUUCGGACUUCGUGGCGGACGGGUGAGUAACACGUGGGAACGUGCCUUUAGGUUCGGAAUAACUCAGGGAAACUUGGGCUAAUACCGAAUGUGCCCUUCGGGGGAGAGAUUUAUCGCCUUUAGAGCGGCCCGCGUCUGAUUAGCUAGUUGGUGAGGUAAAGGCUCACCAAGGCGACGAUCAGUAGCUGGUCUGAGACCAUGAUCAGCCACAUUGGGACUGAGACACGGCCCAAACUCCUACGGGAGGCAGCAGUGGGGAAUCUUGCGCAAUGGGCGAAAGCCUGACGCAGCCAUGCCGCGUGAAUGAUGAAGGUCUUAGGAUUGUAAAAUUCUUUCACCGGGGACGAUAAUGACGGUACCCGGAGAAGAAGCCCCGGCUAACUUCGUGCCAGCCGCCGCAGUAAGAC